rnacentral:rRNA from 1 species
AACGGCCGCGGUAUCCUAACCGUGCGAAGGUAGCGUAAUCACUUGUUCUUUAAAUGAGGACUAGUAUGAAUGGCACCACGAGGGUUAAGCUGUCUCCUUUUUCUAAUCAGUGAAACUAAUCUCCCCGUGAAGAAGCGGGGAUUAUACUAUAAGACGAGAAGACCCUAUGGAGCUUAAAACAAAUUAACACUUGCUUCUAUCCAUUUUUACUCCUGAACUAACACAUAAAAUAUAGCAUCAUUGAUUAAUAGUUUUCGAUUGGGGUGAUCAUGGAGUAAAAACCAACCUCCACGACGAAAAGGAACACUUCCCUGAGCUAAAAGCUACAACUUUAAGCACUAAAAAAUUAACGCACUUUGACCCAAAUUUUUGAGCAACGAACCAAGUUACCCUAGGGAUAACAGCGCAAUCCAUUUCAAGAGCCCCUAUCGACAAAUGGGUUUACGACCUCGAUGUUGGAUCAGGGUAUCCCAGUGGUGCAGCCGCUACUAAAGGUUCGUUUGUUCAACGAUUAAAACCCUACGUGAUCUGAGUUCAGACCGGAGAAAUCCAGGUCAGUUUCUAUCUAUAAAGGGCUUUUUCUAGUACGAAAGGACCGAAAAAGCAUGGCCAAUGAUCAAUUAAGCCAUAUAAAUUACUCAUGUUUUCAACUCAAUUAGAAACAAACCUACCAUAAACCUCAAAAAAAGAGAAGUUAACGUAGCAAAACCUGGCCCUGCAA